AUGAAGAUGAUCUUUGUGGUGUUUGUGAUCCUGGUGCAUGUUUCCCAGCAUACCUCAGGAGUUGAGGUCUAUGAGGGGGUGGAGUCUGUGCUGCUGCCCUGCCAGGUAUCUAGGAUACCCGAGGACCUCACAGUGGUGUGGAGCCGCUUUGAUCUCAAUCCCACAACCAUCCACCAACAUCAGGAUAAAGAUGAGCUUUAUGUCCAAAACCAGCAUUACAGCAGUCGAACAACGAUGUCAGCUGACGCUCUGGAGACUGGAGACUUCAGCCUCACUCUAAAGAAACCCCGGCUCUUUGACAGCAGCAAAUACACCUGCAGCAUCCACAGUGGCGGAUAUGAAGUGAGACGGAUAAAAGUACAGCUGCAGGUCAAAGAACCAUACACUUUCCCGUCUGAGGCCUGGGUUCUCCUGGUUCUCCUGGGUGUUCUGGUUGUUGCUUUGGGUCUUGCAGUAUAUCUUAGGUACAGCGUCAUCACAGUCUCCAAGGUGGAGGUGGAAGAGGGGGUCAAGAGUGUCAAGCUUCGUUACAAAACCAAAACCCAGCUACCCGAGGACAUUACAGUGGAGUGGAGCUGCUGUGCACCUGUGCCCAGGAUGGUCCAUGUUUACAAGAAGGGCAGUGACCAAAAGGACCAGUUUAACCCCGGUCGCACAAAGAUUGCAAACCCACCAAAGAAUGGAGACCUCAGUCUGACACUGAGGGACCCCUGUUACAGGGAUAGUGGCACUUACAUCUGCACUGUCUACACUGAGCAAGAAAUCUUGGCACAAAAAGUAGUACAGCUCCGGGUCAAAGUCCAGGGGAAGGUAGUGGUCGAGGAGUGGGAUGAAUUUGUCAAGUUGCCCUUCAUAACUACAGCUGAGCUGCCUAAAGACGCAACAGUGGAAUGGAGGCGCACUGAACCCAAAGCCAUGAUGGUUCAUGCGUAUCAGAAAGGCCAAGAUAGGCCUGAGAAACAGGAUGAAUAUUACCGUGAUCGCACAAAGAUGAACAAUGACCCACUGAAAUCCAAAGACCUCAGUGUGACCCUAUGUCACCCUGGUUACAGUGACAGAGGGACCUACAUCUGCACUGUUUACAAGAAUGGAUGGAUCCUGGCAAAGAAAGUAGUGCUGGUUUGUGUCAAAGUCUCCAGUGUGAAGCCUGCCAAGCUGCCUUACCAAAUCGCAGCUCACCUGCUUGAGGAUGCCACAGUGGAGUGGAGUCGCUGUGACCCCAAACCCAUGAAGGUCCAUGUAUGUCAGAAUGGCCAAGACCAGCCUGACAAACAGGACAAGCUUUACAUCAACCGAACAAAGAUGAAGAGAGAAAUGCUUAAAACUGGAGACCUCAGUCUGACCCUGAGUAACCCUAGUUACAGUGACAAUGGCAUUUAUAUCUGCACAGUUUACAGGGACGGACACAUCCUGGCAAGAAAAGUAGUGCUGCGUCAGGCCAAAGUCCACCAGGAGGAAGUGGACGAGGGGACAGAGUCUGUCCAGAUGCCCUUUCAAAGCUCAGUUCAACUGCCUGAUGGUGCCAGAGUGGAGUGGAGCCGCUGUGAACCCAAACCCAUAAAGGUCCAUGUCUAUCAUAAUGGCCAGAACCAGCCUGAGGAGCAGGACAAGUUUUACCAAGGUCGGACAAUAGUGAAAGAAAAUCUACUUCAAACUGGUGAUCUUAGUCUGACCCUGAGCAAACCCACUGACAAUGACAGCGAUUUCUACAUCUGCACUAUUAACGUGGAUGGAGACAUCGUAUGGCAGAAUGUUGUACAGCUACAGGUCAAAGUCCAGACGGAGGUGGAAGUUGAGGAGUGGUCUACGUCUUUCACACUGCCCUUCAAAAUUGUGGCUGACCUGCCCAAAGAUGCAACAGUGGAAUGGAGGCGCUCUGAACCCAAAGCCAUGAUGGUUCAUGAGUAUCAGAAAGGCCACAACAAGCCUGACAAACAGGAUGAAUAUUAUUGUGAUCGCACAAAGAUGAACAAUGACCCACUGCAAUCCAAAGACCUCAGUUUGACCCUUUAUAAGCCUGGCUACAGUGACAGAGGAACCUACAUCUGCACUGUUCUCAGGGAUGGACAAAUCAUGGCACAGAAAGCAGUGGUGGUCAAAGUCUCCACCUUGAAACCUGCCAACCUGCCUUACCAAAUCGCAGCUGACCUGCUUGAGAAUGCCACAGUGGAGUGGAGUCGCUGUGACCCCAAACCCAUGAAGGUCCAUGUGUGUCAGAAUGGCCAAGACCAGCCUGACAAACAGGACAAGCUUUACAGCAACCGAACAAAGAUGAAUAGAGAAAUGCUUAAAACUGGAGACCUCAGUCUGACCCUGAAUAACCCCAGAGACAGUGACAGUGGCAUUUAUAUCUGCACCGUCUACAGGGACAGCGACAUCCUGGCAAGAAAAGUAGUGCGGCAUCAGGCCGGAGGUCAGUAUUGUAUAUACCAGUCAGAGGUCAGUGUUGGCCACUGCUCCUGUAAUCAUCAGUGUCUCUUGUUGUCCUUUCAGUCCACCAGGAGGAAGUGGACGAGGGGACAGAGUCUGUCCAGAUGCACUUUCAAAGCUCAGUUCAACUGCCUGAUGGUGCCACAGUGGAGUGGAGCCGUUGUGAACCCAAACCCAUAAAGGUCCAUGUCUAUCAUAAUGGCCAGAACCAGCCUGAGGAGCAGGACGAGUUUUACCAAGGUCGCACAAAGGUGAAGGAAAGUCUGCUGGUAACUGGAGAUUUCACUCUGACCCUGAGCAAACCCACCACCAGAGACAGUGAUUACUACAUCUGCACUGUCCGUGAGGAUGAAGACAUCAUAUGGCAGAAUGUUGUAGAGCUGCAGGUCAAAGGUCAGUACUGUGGAUACAGGUCAGAUACAGAUGGUGGCUGGAUAUGGUUUAUUGUUUUCAACCUGCCAUGUGGAGUUGAAAGAGUGGAUGCUGUCCAUGAAAACAGGGACAUGUCAGUUGCAGAUGAAUAAAGGUUCUUUCAGACAACCUUGUUUUCAAUGUAAAUGUACUGGCAGUGGUGAAGAGAGGGAGUGCAGCUGCAUUUGUUUGUCGCAGCUUAUUGUGUUACAAUGCCAAACUCAGAAACUACAGAGAAGGAACAAUACAGGAACUGAUUUUACUACAACUGAGUUUAUUGAAUGAUUCACCAGCUGAGAAAAGACAGAUCAACGAAGAGAAAUGGUCAGUGAGCAACAUUAGCUUCAAAGUCUGAUUAUCCGCUCUGGGAUUUAUUACUAUAUUAAUUCUGUUACAACCAUGUUGUUAACCAUUUCCUCUGCUUUAUGGGUUCAACCCCUCUCAAUUUAGCUGUGUGAUGAGAUUAGACCAGGUGGAUAGCAGCAGCAAGUGGUGUUCAGGCUGGUAGGAACUUGCUGCCACCAGAAAAAAAAUCAAGGGCUUUCUCCGACUCAAGAUUUUCCGAGACAACUAGUCAGCAAAAGUGGUAAUUCUGAAUGUGCCAGAACAACCAGCAAGGACACGGAGCACUUCAUUCAUUUCAACACAGUUUAACAUGACACGUGUCUCGCUGUUUAAAAAUACAGAAUAAAUGACUUCACUGUUUUUAGCUCACAAUAUUCCACAUCAGAAAGGGGGUUUUGUGUUUGUUUGUUUGCCUUUGGUUGUGUUCCAUGCUGUGGCUGACACAUUUGUCUUUUACAGCAAGAAGAUGGAUGAGAAUGAAAAGAAGACAGGACCGAGAUGAAACAGACGACAUUGUGAACAUGCCCUUGAUGGCCAGCCCCAAUGUGUAGUGCUCCGUAUAAUUUGUCUUAUUCGGUAUAGCUUUGGUGGAUAAUUGAUGGAAUCUGAACUGCGAAUUAAAACGGGGCUUGUGGAUUCCUUCCUUCUCAUUUGCUGUUGUCAGCCCAUUCUCAACCGUAAAUCAUGGAAUACUGCAGCUAUGUCAGUUCAAAUUAUGAUGCUAUAGGUAUCCCUCUAACGUUACUACUGGAUGUGCCUGUGUAGGGUAAUGUUUUGAUGUUCUGUUGAAGUCAUGUGAAAUAGUAUAAAGAGCAAAAAGUCCACGUAUGGAGGUGGUGAGGAGGAUGGAAGACUCAAACAAGACUUUCAUACAGGAGACGGCUGUUUGUAUCCCAUUAGAAAACAAAAGUUAAUGUUGACUCCUUUUAGGUAAAGUUCUACUUGACCACAGAGCCCCGCACGUACAAAACUGAUGCUGGAGGGAUACCGCUGACCAAGCUGCAGUUCUUGAUGAGCUGGAAGUGAGAACGUAUUUCAGUUGUGUAAAAUAAAUGUUGCUGUUAAAUAUUCAGAGUUUCUGAGUUUCUAUAAUGUUUUAGUUAAAAUCAUUAUUCCAUUAUGCUCCUACCUUCAAUAACUCAGUACAUGCAUUAGUUUCUGAUUAUUACACUUGCUUUUAAAUCUCCUUCUCUGGAACACACUGUAUUGUUUUUUCACAUUAGCUGUAUGUAUGUUUUACUUUACACUACGUAUUGGAUUGCCUCUUGCUGCUGCCUCUUGGCCAGGACAUCAAUGUAAAUGAGAAUUGGUUCUCGAUUGAUAUCUCCGGUUAAAUAAAUAAACAAAAAUGCAUCCAGCUGUUGAAUUGAAUUGGAAGAAUUGUUGUGUUUUCCUUACCUUAGAAUAACCUCUUUUUGUGCCUGGGUAGGAUAAAAGAAAAUGGACAAGGGAGUGGGUCGCCUUCCGUGAACUGCCAUUUUUCUACAGUAGCCCUGAAGGGACAAACAAAACGCUGCUUCAAGAUAGGUCUGUUUGCUGUUUUUGCGUUUUGUGGCCACCGUAGUUUCUCCUCUGUGCUUGAAAGGGGAGGGUGAAUUGAGGGAGUAGCAAUCUGCAAAAGACAGAAGUGCUAAUAAUCAGAACAUUGCUGCAGCUUUCACUAAGUUGAUGCACAGAGCAGCCAUCUUAAAAUAAGAUGUUCCUUUAUUGAUCCCCUAUGGGAGAAAUCCAAGUCAGACACAGAAGCACAAGGGAAUGUAGUACAACAAGUAGAGAAGUGUAAGUACAAUAAAGAAUCAUAAAGUAAAAAUAUUAUAAAGACAUAAUAGAAAACAUAAGACUACAAUGAAAAAUACAUACUCUUUAUGUAGUGUGCAGUAAAAUGGUGUGCAAAUUAUUUUAAGCAGAAUAAGUGCAAGUGGAAGGAGUAGUUUGUACAGAGAGUUUGUAGGUUAAGGAUAAACCAGUCUUAUUCAGCUGGGGUUGGAGGAACUUGGAUUUUGAGGUUGGUGAGGUUCUUCCAACUUUCCAAGUUGGAAAUCUGACUUCCCAGUCCAAAUGGAACGCAUUAUAAUCAGGUGAUUAUUUAGAACAAUGAACAAUAUGAAAGGAAUGAAAGCAACCUGUCAGUCUGAUUCUGCUGUUUGAUAACAACUGGAUCAACAAGUCUCACACACACACACACACACACACAGUUGGGCUGAAGCUCCUCCUGUUUCCUCAGAAGUGUCUCAGUUGCAUCCCUCACCUCAUUCAGGAUUUAACUCUGAACCUGAACUCUGAGGUCACUGUACUUUUAUUCAUAUAGUUUAUGAUAAAUGAAGAACACUUUAAUUCAACAUAAACUGUAUGAUUAACAAACUAUUAAGUCAUCAAAUACUGCACUUUACACUUUAUUUAUAGAGCACUUGUGAGGAAGAGUAUUGAGUAUUGAACAUAAAAGUAAACACAUAGUAGUACAAUGACAUAUGAAAUACAACAAUACAGAGAAUGAACCAGACGGAGCCAAAUGAACUAAAAUCAGAUGAAACUAUCUGACACUGUUAUAAAGCUGAUCAACCUGAUAUUUUACAUUCUUAUAUCUCAUGAUCCCAGUCACAGAAAAAGGCUAUCUGAUCUGAUAAUUGAUCGAUAAUCAGUUUAGUUUUCCCAACAUAGUGUAAGUUACAUGGUUACACAGGUUAAAUGUACCUGGUAAGAAAUUCUUAUAAGGAAGUUUUUCCUUGCCCUUGUCUCCAAGGUCUUGCUCAUGGUGGUACUGUUGGGUCUCUGUAAAUAAUGUUAUAAAGAGUUCGGUCUAGACCUGCUCUAUUUGAAAAGUGUCCUGAGAUAACUUCUGUUAUGAAUUGGCACAAUACAAAUAAAAUUUAACUGGAUUGAAUUGAACGACCUGAUGGCAGCAUAUAUGGCUACAAAUAUAUAGUCUGCCUGUUAACUGCAAAUUGGUUGCAGGCAGUUUUUUUCUUCCAGAGCUCUUCACCUGUAUUAUUAAGGAAAAUAUAAUAAUACCUAUUGAAUCAGCACUCAGUAGAUAAUCAAUAUGUAUAUGUGUAUAUACACUACUCACAGAAAGUUAGGGAUAUUCGGCUUUCGGAUGAAAUUUCAGAAUGUACAUAAAAUGCACUAUAACCUUUCCAGGUGAUCUUAAUUUGAACUUCUAUACUUAAAUGCCCUACUUUCAUGAUAUAAUAUCACUGUAGCAUCAACUUUUUACAUUUUCCAUACAUUUCACCCGAA
rnacentral:lncRNA from 15 species